CCGAGAAGAGUGAAGAUACA
rnacentral:tRNA from 1 species